rnacentral:snoRNA from 1 species
UCAUCACAUAGGAUAAUCUUUACAUGUUCCUCUUUUUGGAAAGAUGAUUAGAGCAUGACGAUAAGCAUUCACAUGACUUCUGGUUAUUAACUCUGCCACUGUAAUCAGAA